rnacentral:rRNA from 1 species
CAAAGUUUUAAUUAACAAUGUCGUACCUUUUGCAUAAUGGGUCAGCAACUUAAUAACGCAGGCGAGAUUAAAAGUCCGAGCGAAAGCGACUAUCGAUUUAUAGAUGGGUUAAGUCUGUGUUAUUAGACCCGAAACGACGUGAUCUAGCCAUGGGCAGGGAUAUAGGCCCGAACAGGUGUACGUUGCAUAGUACUCUGAUGACCUGUGGUUAGGAGUGAAAUGCUAAUCUAACGUCGUGAUAGCUGGUUCUCUGCGAAAUGCAUUGCAGUGCAGCGUCAAUGAAUAAACUUAUGGUAGGUACAGCACUGAUUGACAUGUCUUAACCGACCGACUAGGGGGAUGUGUAAGUCCUAUCUAGGUCAGUUAACCUCGGAAUGAUCAUAAGCAGUAAUUGGCAGUGAGUCGUAGGGUGAUAAGGUCUUAUGACGAGAGGGAAACAGCCCAAACAAUGUGUUAAAGUCCCAAAGAUAUUAGCAAGUGAAAUUAAGGAAGUGUAUUGCCUGAUACAGCCAUGAUGUGGGAUUGGAAGCGUCCAUCAUUUAAAGAAAGCGUAACAGCUCAGUGGUCUAGGCCGUAUGCGCCGAAGAUAUACCGGGUCUUAACUAAUACACUAAUACCAUUGUAUAACAUCAAUCAACCUGAUUGAUAUUAAUAAGUAGCAGAGCGUCCAGUACUGAUGAAGAGCAGUAUUUUAUUGUUUGGAGGUAACUGGAGUGAGGAUGCUGGCAUGAGUAACAAGAAUGAAUGUUAAAUCAUUCACACCGAAAGAGAAAGGUUUCUGAGGGCAAGUUAGACUGCCUCAGGUUAUAAUCCAUAUUCGUAUGGAACACUUAGUUUCUAAGUGUAAGCGGUAUCUAAGGGGUUAGCCAAUGCGACACCUCGAUGAUUAUAUUGCAGAACGGCCCUUUACGGGGUCCAGGAAAAUAAUGCAAUCAUAGCUACCGUACCUUAAACCGACACAGGUUCUCGGGUAGAGUAUACUAAGGUGACGGAAUAAUCAAAUUUAAGGAACUCGGCAAAAUGAUCUCGUACGUUCGACAAGAAGAGAUGCCCUUACUAGGUAAGGGUGGCACAGAAUCGGAGGGUGCGACUGUUUACCCAAAACACAGCAGCCUGCUAACACUAACAGUGGUCGUAUAGGUUGUGAUUCCUGUCCGGUGCUUCGUGAUAUAGUGAUUGGUAGUGUAUUUUUAAUAUGCUAUCGAAGCUUGAAGACGAAGUAAACGACGGUCUUAACUAUAAGGAUCCUAAGGUAGCGAAAUUCCUUGGCCAAUAAUUACGGUCCUGCAUGAAUGGAACAGCGAUGCCCUCACUGUCUUAAAUUUGAGUCCGGUGAAAUUGAAUUAGCCGUGCAGAUGCGGUUUACUUCCAGUUAGACGGGAAGACCCUAUGCAACUUUACUAUAGCCAGAUAUUGUGUUAGUUUACCGUUUGUCACAGGUAUGAGGUAGUCGAUAUGACGCAAGUGAGAGACCUCAACAAACCGUAGACGCACUAACCUACUAAAAUUAGGGAACGUGUCUGGUGGGUAGUUUUACUGGGACGGUACCCUCCAAGAAAGCAUCGGAGGGGUCCAAUAGGUACACAUAGCUUAGACGGGGACUAAGUGAUCAUGAAAGAUCAAAAACAGCAUAAUGGCAUAAGUGUGCUAAACUGAGAGACUGACAGGUCAAUCAGGUACGUAAGUAGGGCAUAGUGAACCGAUAGUAUGUUAUGGUACAGCUAUCGUUCAACGGAUAAGUUACGCUAGGGAUAACAGGCUAAUAGCGCGAAAGAGUUCAUAUCGUAAGCGCUGUUUGGCACCUCGAUGUCGACUCAUCACAUCCUCCUGGUGCACAAGCUGGGAAGGGUUCGACUGUUCGUCGAUUAAAGUGGUACGUGAGUU